rnacentral:lncRNA from 14 species
AGCGCAGCUCCGGCCCCGCACAGGCAGCGGGAGGAGGGUGGAUUCGGGCUCGUUACCCUCUCGUCCCGUCCUGUCCGCCCCGUACGGACAAAGGAAACUUCGGUCGCAUCCUCCGGCGGUACCCCCGCGAUGAGCCCAUCAUGGAGGGGGAAAGAGGAACAUCCAAGGCUGUUCUGCUGUGAUUUCCUACUGAUUCGUGCCGAGAGCAUCCACCCAGACCCAUGAGCUGCCCCAGGAGUUACCUCCUCAGCCCUUUGGAUGACACCAGCUCUAGAAGAAAGCUGAUUUACCAAGAAAUCAUCUGGCAGCCAGCACGGGGCUCGGUGCACAGGUCUCCCAGAGAGCAACUUCUCAUGAGCAGGUGUUGCUUUCCAGCAGUGUGA